GAUGAACGCUGGCGGCGUGCCUAAUACAUGCAAGUCGAGCGAACGGACGAGAAGCUUGCUUCUCUGAUGUUAGCGGCGGACGGGUGAGUAACACGUGGAUAACCUACCUAUAAGACUGGGGUAACUUCGGGAAACCGGAGCUAAUACCGGAUAAUAUUUUGAACCGCAUGGUUCAAAAGUGAAAGACGGUCUUGCUGUCACUUAUAGAUGGAUCCGCGCUGCAUUAGCUAGUUGGUAAGGUAACGGCUUACCAAGGCAACGAUGCAUAGCCGACCUGAGAGGGUGAUCGGCCACACUGGAACUGAGACACGGUCCAGACUCCUACGGGAGGCAGCAGUAGGGAAUCUUCCGCAAUGGGCGAAAGCCUGACGGAGCAACGCCGCGUGAGUGAUGAAGGUCUUCGGAUCGUAAAACUCUGUUAUUAGGGAAGAACAUAUGUGUAAGUAACUGUGCACAUCUUGACGGUACCUAAUCAGAAAGCCACGGCUAACUACGU
rnacentral:rRNA from 1 species